UGGGGAAUAUUGCACAAUGGGCGCAAGCCUGAUGCAGCGACGCCGCGCGCGGGAUGGAGGCCUUCGGGUUGUAAACCGCUUUUGUUCAAGGGCAAGGCAGGCUUUCGGGCCUGUUGAGUGGAUUGUUCGAAUAAGCACCGGCUAACUACGUGCC
rnacentral:rRNA from 1 species